rnacentral:rRNA from 1 species
GACGUAGGGCGCGAGCGUUGUCCGGAUUUAUUGGGCGUAAAGAGCUCGUAGGCGGCUUGUCGCGUCGUUCGUGAAAACCCGGGGCUCAACUCCGGGCUUGCGGGCGAUACGGGCAGGCUAGAGUUCGGUAGGGGAGACUGGAAUUCCUGGUGUAGCGGUGAAAUGCGCAGAUAUCAGGAGGAACACCGGUGGCGAAGGCGGGUCUCUGGGCCGAUACUGACGCUGAGGAGCGAAAGCGUGGGAGCAACGG